rnacentral:rRNA from 1 species
UACGUAGGGUGCAAGCGUUGUCCGGAAUUAUUGGGCGUAAAGAGCUCGUAGGCGGUUUGUCGCGUCUGCUGUGAAAUCUGGGGGCUCAACCCCCAGCCUGCAGUGGGUACGGGCAGACUAGAGUGCGGUAGGGGAGAUUGGAAUUCCUGGUGUAGCGGUGGAAUGCGCAGAUAUCAGGAGGAACACCAAUGGCGAAGGCAGAUCUCUGGGCCGUAACUGACGCUGAGGAGCGAAAGCAUGGGUAGCGAACAGG